rfam:Dipodomys ordii contig_8572, whole genome shotgun sequence.
GGGAAGAUGGCUCAGUGGUAGAGCACUUGCCUUGCAUGCAUGCAUGAGGCCCUGGGUUCAAUUCCUCAGUACCA